rnacentral:rRNA from 3 species
ACAGCGAAACCGCGAAUGGCUCAUUAAAUCAGUUAUUGUUUAUUUGAUAGUACCUUUUACAUGGAUAACCGUGGCAAUUCUAGGGCUAAUACAUGCAACCAAGCCCCUUGCUUACGCUGGGGGCGCUUUUAUUAGAUCAAGACCAAACCGGCAGCAAUGCCGGCCCCUUUGGUGACUCUGGAUAACUUUUGCUAAUCGCACGAUCUUGCAUCGGCGAUGUGUCAUUCAAAUUUCUGCCUUAUCAACUUUCGAUGGUACGUUAUACGCCUACCAUGGUUGUUACGGGUAACGGGGAAUCAGGGUUCGAUUCCGGAGAGGGAGCCUGAGAAACGGCUACCACAUCCAAGGAAGGCAGCAGGCGCGCAAAUUACCCACUCCCGGCUCGGGGAGGUAGUGACGAAAAAUAACAAUACAGGUCUCUUUCGAGGUCCUGUAAUUGGAAUGAGUACACUCUAAACCUUUUAACGAGGAUCUAUUGGAGGGCAAGUCUGGUGCCAGCAGCCGCGGUAAUUCCAGCUCCAAUAGCGUAUAUAAAAGUUGUUGC